GAAAGCUCUGGAUCCUGAGGGACUCAGCCGGGGUGUGGCUGGGCUGUGCCCAUUUAGGGACUUCCUCUCCUGUUUCAAAGAAAGGGCUUUACUGCUUUGGUUGGGGCAAGGUUGCUCAUACCCAAAAAAGCUAUGCUGUAGGGACUCUGUGGCCGCUUGUCCAAAUGAGGUUUUGUCGUGAAUGGUUGUUAUGAAGCAUAACUAAAUCAAGAAUAAUCAUCUGAUUUUAAAAGACAGCCCAAAGGUGCUGAGAGGCCUGUGGCUCAGUGAUAGAACGCUUGCCUCUAUUAGGUCCUUAGGUUGGCUGGAUUUCCAGCAACAGCAGAAGACUUCCAGAAGGAAAAACAAAAACCUCAAGUACUUAAAAAAAUAUUUUUUUGCACCUUUUGAGGCAAGUGCUGGGAUUACAGGCAUGCUCCAACAUGUGGAGUGCUGCAGAUGGAACCCAGGGCUUCAACGCUUGGACUCGAGCGCUCUUCCUCUAAGGCUGAAGAAGUAGCUCCACGCCUGGUAUGCCGAAGGCCCUGGGCUCGAUCCCCAGAACACCGUAAACUGGGCGUUGUGGCAGACAGCUCCAAUUACUCCUCAGGAAGAGACCUAUUACCCUGCUUCUUAUCCCCGACAGACUUAACCAACACCUGCCACUUGGCUGACACUCAGCGAAAGCUGGGCUCUAUGGGUGAACUAUUUUGAGUGAACAGCUGUUGAGCGGCUUGUGGAGUUUUCCUCCAGCAUCUGUUGACAAGCAACUUCUUCCUGCCAGCAGCAAAUGAAAGCCGGGCAAAAUGGCCACUUGUGACUCGCCACUGUAAUGACGUAUGAAAAGGUCUAGACAGCGGUGCAGUUCAGAGCUGGAGCCCUUUGCCCUACACGCACAAAGCCCUGGCUUUGAUUCCCAGCAGCCAGAUGAGGGACAGCAGCUUCAGGAUUGCCUGAGCCCAGGAAUUCCAGAUAGAAACUAGGGCAUGAGUUUUCUCUGCACAUGCUCGCCCACUGAGCUGCCUGCCUCGUACCUGGCUCCCUUGGCUACCAUUUGAAAGGAGCAUGCAUCAACUGUCUUAACAGGAACAUAAACCCUGCCAGGCAGUUCCUGGAAGUCCUGAUUCUCCUGCCUCAGCCUGGGAUGACAGGUGUAAAAGCCAAACUGUGGCAAAGGACACUACAAACCUGAUGACAUAGUAAGGAUUCCCGCCCUGGGGGUCUGAUCAGCGCUUAGUUCCCCCUCCACCAUCCUGCGGUGAUGUCAUACCGCUCGACCUUCUUCAGCGAGAAUCCCGUCAGGAAAGGCAGCUGAGCAGGAGCCCUCGUGAGCUGAUCGGCAGUAGUACCCGCCAUGAUUUCUGUUACGCCACCUUGGCUGUGAGUGAACUCGGUGAUCAGUGGUAAUGUUUUGUGGAAUAGCAAGCAGGCUUGCUUUCAAGUUCCUGUUUGAGUUCUCUCCGUGAUGGACUGAGACCUGUGAGCUGACAUAAAUCCUUUCUUCUCUGUUGCUUUUGGUCAGAGUACUUAUACCAGCAACAGCAAGAAAGUAGACCAACCCGAGACAGUUCCUGUUGGUAAUUCCCCUCCAGUGACCACUCCCUACCCCAACUCCUUGGGGAGGUGUAAUUCCUACUUGAUAUGCUGUAUCGAAAUUUGAACUGACCUCUCCUGCUGCUGGAUCAGCUGUCAAAGCAGGUCCUAGACCCAUCUCAGGUGUCUUCCUUUCAUGCCUUCUGAAAUAAGAUUGGUUCCUUUUAUGGAACAAUAAAACGUAUUCAUGA